GCCAAACAAUCCCUAAGGGCUUUCUAUGUUUUUGGCCUUUGCUUUUUUGUGUUUAACGUGGGAAAUUUAGGCAUAGAAACAACUCCAAGUCGGACCUUAGACCCUUGGUGACGGUGCCAGCUUCCAUUGAGAGUGCAACAAUGGACAAACAACAGAGGGAAAAAGAGGACGAGGGCGCAUUACUCUACCGUUUUGCCCAUCUGGUGUUACCAUACUUAGAGCCUGCCGAUCUAGCCUCCGUCUCAGCAACGUGCAAGGCUUUGCAUGUAGUUUCCAAAGCUAUUACUUCCAGAAGAAUCUCCGAUGCUUGUAGAUACUUGGAGAAUUACCCCAUUCCUUUCUUCAACUCCGUCGACUCCGAGCUUUACCCCAACUCCAUCUACACCCCUGUUCAGACCCUACCCACCUCCCCAUCCAUCCCUAGUCUAUGCUGGGGAGGAGAUAUUGGUGGUGGAUCGGGUCCCGUUAGGCGGGACCCGUUUGUAGUCCGGGUGGAGGGAGCUCACGGGUGCGAUUGUGAGAGUUGCGGUUCUAAUUGCCCAUGUGUGAAUUUUUCCAGAGAAUGCGGGCCAAGUUGCGGAUGCGGGUCGGAGUGUGGGAACAGGUUAACUCAGAAAGGACUUUCAGUGAAGCUCAAAGUUGUCAAGGAUAGGAGAAAAGGCUGGAGCUUGUGUGCGGCUGACUUCAUUCCAAAAGGAAAAUUCAUAUGCGAGUAUGCAGGAGAACUUUUGACCACUGAGGAAGCAAGAAAUCGCCAGAGACUAUAUGACAAAAUUUCAAAGAGUAGCAGCUUUUCGCCUGCACUGCUGGUUGUGAAGGAGCACCUUCCAUCUGGAAAUGUGUGUAUGAGAAUCAACAUUGAUGCUACCAGAAUUGGCAAUAUUGCCCGCUUCAUUAACCAUUCCUGUGAUGGUGGUAAUCUUUGUACAUUGAUUGUGCGAAGUUCUGGAGCUCUGCUCCCCAGAGUUUGCUUUUUCUCUUCCAGGGACAUUUUGGAAAAUGAAGAGCUCGCUUUCAGUUAUGGGGAUACUACACUUAACUCCACAGGCUCUCAAUGCUUUUGCAGUAGUGCUUGUUGUCGUGGGAUCCUUCCAGCGGAGCACACAUGAUGUCGUAAGGUAGAGCUGAUGGAUAAGAAGGCAGCUAUGGUGGAGAAGAAACGGGAGUGGUGAGAUGAAACUCAGGAUGAGCGAAAAUAUUGGCACUUUUUUUAUCGCUAUGAUGACUGAAGAGGAACAUAAGAAUCAAAUGGGCUGGUUAUUGAGGAUGAAUAUAUUUGGGAAAGUCGCAUGAUGUGAGCUGUUGGAGAAAAUGUUCAUGCACAAACAACCUUGGAAAAAGCAGCAGACUAUCAGGGAAUUCCAUUACAACGAUGCAGAUUUGAACCAUAGGAAAAGAUUUGAAGAAUGGCAGCCACACCAAUGUUGAAUUCUGAUGGACGCAGAAAGAGACAUUGCUAAUGGUUAGUAAGCUAAGAGGUAUGUGAAUAUAUAGAAAUUAAGGGGCCAUGGAGAAGGUAAAUUAAAAUUCAGAUUCAAUUCCAAGGGCUUUUUGGUUUAGAUCAAGUCAAAGCAAAAAAUUCCAUUCUGUGGUAAAACAAACAUGAACUCAACAAGAUAUUUUUUUUUUUUUGGCAAAAUGUUAAAUUUGUAUUCCUCAGCAUUAUGGAGGUGCUGGGGACCUUCAAAAGAAGAAAUACUUACAGAGAUUUCUUGUCAAAAAAAUACUUACAGAGAUCCUAAUAAUUCUACCAAUUGUUCUGUUUCCGCUACAUCUUUUUCUUUACACCAAAAAUAAAAAGAUACAAUACAAUUCCACUAAGCCUUCUGAAUGGAAUUGGACCUAUCUUCAAAAUUUCUACUAGUCCUUUCUUUCCACACUAUCCACCACAUGCAAUGUGGGAUUGCACUCCACCAUGCCUUCUGGCUCUUACUUCCCCCUCUUCUAAUCUAACAGCUCCGCAGAUCUGCAGUAUGUUCAGGCAUGGUCCACUUUGUUUCAACAAGAUUUUUGAAAUUUUCUAACUAUUGUCACUCAAAAUCCGAAGCAUACAGAAAGCAAAGUUAUAGUCCCCAUCAUAUAAAAGGACAAAUUCGAUUACAUCACUGUUUCAACUAAGUUGUGGUGGUUGUCUACGGUCUCUGUUGAUUAAUUUGAUUGUAACUGCAGUAUUUGCUGUGGUUAGCUAUUAUACUUGCUAAAUUCUACAUCCGAGGGAAAUAAAGCUGGGGAAAGGGAUGAUAUCAAUGUUCUUGGUUUUGCAAGUCAACAAGGACUGAUGCCAAGAGAAGUCAGGAGACGAUAGUUGAUUGAAGAAAGUUAUAGACACUUCCUAAGCAGAUGAUUGGUGAUUAUAAAGAAGCAAAUUAAAAGGGUACAUGGAGAGGUGAUUGUGAAGCAGGAACCAUUUGGCACAGUGAUUCAGAGCCUGAAAAGAAAUGUUAGAGGUGUUUAAACAUAGUCGAUGGAAGUGCUUGACCAAUUACAAACAAAAAAGUGGAGGAACACAUUCUGGAAGGUCUAACUGGUAGGAGCUUGUGUAAUUUUUCAUCUACUACUUGGGAGUUCAGUUCAGACAAACAGAAAUCAAAAGUAGUAAGCAUCAGAUUGGAGAAAAAGUAGUGCUCAAGAGAUCAAGAAGACCAAAAACCAGGAAGGAGAAAACAAGGACAUUACAGUAGCCUAAGCUAUACUAGUGGAAGUCUGAAGAAUGAAGCCCAACAUGACAUAGAGCAACGGCAUCUAGAAAGUGGCCUAAACUAUGAUUGUGGAAGUCUGAAGAAUGAAGCUCAGCAUGAAAUAGAGCAACAAGAAGGAAUUGUUUUGAGGGGUAAAUUUAUUUCUUAGUGAUGGUUCUUUUAGGUGUGUUCAGAGCAGGCAGUGGUUCCGAGUUCAAGUCUCACCGUCGCCCAUUAUCAAAAAGAAGUUUUACGUAAUUGGCUCAUAAGUUCCUUGUUUGGUUUCAUAUAAUACAUGUCAUUGGGAUCUAACUAGCUAAUGCUUAACUCAAAAUGACUUGUGCACUUAGCUUAGAAUUCAAAGAGAUCAAGCUCUUAACAGAAACAUGUUUAAUGAGAAUUAAGGUUUAAGCUUUUAUCAUUUACUAAGUCCUCGAAGGGAUGUUUUGGGAUUUAAGUUCGGAAUAUUUGAAAGUGAAAACUUGCCUCGAGUA